rnacentral:piRNA from 1 species
CAUUCGCAAUCAUGAUUUGAAUUCUU